AUUUACGCUCAGCCACCAGAAAUCAUUCUCCGAAAAAUACCAUUUCGAUUUUGGGUUCAAUUCCAUUUUGGGUUUCGAUUAGUUUGUAAUUGUGUUUAUGUAUAGUUGAUGUGUUUCAAAUUAUGUUGAUUUGUUUGUACCCAAUUGUGUUUGUUAUUGCCAGAAAAAAGAUAAUUUUUAUUGGGUUUUGAGUUUUAAGACUUAAUAGGAGUAGUUUUGUUGGUGGGUUGGCUGAGACAAUUCUCUUAAUAAAAUGUCAAGUGUGUGCAGAUUAAGCUCAAUUUCUUUGAUCCUGCCUGCUGAAUGCUCUGCUCAGAGUAAUCAGUGCUGUUAUGACGUCUGGUUUUUAUGUAUCUAAUUUUCUGUAUUUUGACACAAUUAUGGGGCCGUCUUUGGUCACUAACUCUUCCGCCCCAAUUGUUUUCGGGUAAGCUGUUAUGACUUCUGAAGGUUGUCUGUGUCAAUGUGGGACAUAAAAUAACUAUUAGAUGGAGAGAGUAGAUGGUCAAAAGAGUGAAAUAAAAAGCCUUCGUGAUAGACUAAUAUGUGGUUUCCAUAAUUAGCAGCCUUUUUUUUUUAUUAUUUUAGUUUACAGAACAACCAUAAUCAAAUGUGACAUUGGUUAUUUCAACAUGAUUUCACCAAUCUUCUAAUUGAAAAAAAAUCAGUUAACUUAGGGUUCAUUUGGGAAUUGGCUUUUUUAGUGGCUUUUUGUCUAAAACUUCGUGGCCUUAUGUUCUACGACAAAAAAUCAGUGGUGUUCAUUCUCUUAGUAGAUUCUACAUUGGUAAAUGGAGAAGAGGAAGAGGAAGAGGAAGAGGAUUAUAAAUGGGAUGAGGACCAAAAUUUCUAAUGGUAACUGUAAAAAGAAGAAUGAAGGUCAACUGAAGGAGGAUUAGAGAAGUAAUGAUCUUAGCAGAAUGUAUCUUAUAUUAUAUGUUAUAUCUGCAAUGGCUUGGCAACAUAUCAGGAUUGAGGAGUUGAGUGUACAUUUCAAAACUUCUGUCCUCUUUUUUCUAUUGUCGUUGUUUUAUCCCCAUAUCAAUGUUCAUCUUUAGUUUUGUUGGGUGGGUUUUGAACAUUUGAUUGGCUGUUUUGGAAUUUGUGAACAGGUGUAGCACCAAUCACUCUGGGGACUUAAUUAUGCCAGAUAAAGCAAUUGAUGGGAUUUUUGGGUUUGGUCGACAGGUUCUGUCUGUCAUAUCACAGUUGUCAUCCUGAGGGAUUACUCCCAAGGUUUUCUCCCACUGCUUGAAAGAAGAUGGCAGCAGUGGCGGAUUAUUAGUUCUUGAUGAGAGAGAGCCAAAGCCACACCAAAUUUGAACAACACAGGCCUGAUAUCUCUAUUCUCUUUCACCAUCCUAAUUGAAAAGCUCUAAUCUAGACACAUAGAUACAGAUAUAUACACAUAUAUGAAGAUCAUGGGUCCUCUUCUUCCAUCUACACGCCUAAAUUCAGAAAAAAUCAAACGACCCAUUUGAAAAAAAUAAUUUAUAAGCAAAACCCAAUUCAGAUUUUGGCGAUUUAUGACUCACCAUCGGAGAUAAAGAUCGUAUAUGCAUCGAGAAAUAAAGCAAAUGAGUUUGGAGACGAUUUGGUGUUGUUGUGGGUCUUUUUGCAAACUCAAGUUUUUGUGACUUUCAUGAGUUUGAGAUUUUGUCUUUCUUUUGAGAGUUUGAGACAGUUGUGUAUGAAAACCCAUAAUUUAAUUGAGUAAAGUCUUAUGACGACUGGCCAUUGAUUUUUUGCCUUAAGUCAUGUUGAAUGUAAUAAGCACAUCUAUAUAAUAAGGGAAGAUGGUUUUUGAAAAUCUAUACAAAUGUCUGAGAGAUACAUUUAAUUUGGACGGCUGAGAUGUCUAAAAUGUUUAGAUCAAUGGUUUAGAUCAAUGGGUGGUUCCCGCCCAACACAUUUCAUUUGAUUUGCCUAUAUCUAUCCUCUGUCUCCUUCAUACCCUCUGUCUACCAUCUGUCUUCCCAUACCCUCUACCUUCCCUCUCUAUCUCCCUCUCUGUCUCCCUCUCUGUCUACCGUCUGUCUCCCUAUUCCUACUCUGCACUGACUCUCCCCUCAGUAUCUACCUUCCCUCUCUAUCUCCCUUUCUUGCUCUGUUUUUGGGUUUAUCUUAUUGUAUUGGGUUUGGAUUUUGAGUUAUACGGGUGAUAUUGAGCCAACUGGUAUAUACGGGUGAGUUAUAGAUAUAUGGAAAAGAAAUUCUGCUCAGACUUUAACCAAUUCUACAGGUCAGCAUUGGUGAUUUGUCUGCUCUGCCCAUUUUGAGUUUAAAUUCAUUGAAGUUGAUGUUGAGUACCUUCUGGGAAAACACUUAUUCCCUUUUUGUAUUUAAUGUUUGCCACUCUCAAGGAGCCAAUCAGAUUCAGCAAGGACGAGUCCUAUUGGUGAUCCAAUAGAGGACAAAGUGAUAGUGUCUGAGCUGAGAAAUGCUUCAAAUAGAAGAUCAAAUGGAACACCCAUAGACCAUGAAAUGUCGAAAGAAGUUGAGUCCAAGCAUAAUCCUCCCAGUGUGGUCGCCAAGUUGAUGGGGCUUGAUACCCUUCCAUGGCAACAGUCUGAUUCUGCUGCGCAAAGAAGUCAUUCAAGAGACUAUGCACGAAGUCAUUCAGCUUUUGCCUUCAUCAGAGCUUCUGUGGAUCACUCUGACCACUUUCACCGUUGUUCACUCCGGCUGUGACAUCACUUCGGCUGCUCAGCUAUUCACUUCGGCUACUCGACAUCUUGCUCGGCUGCUCGGUGCUUAUCUUGCAAGAUAGUGUAGAAGAGAAGGAUGAUGAGAUCUUAAGGUUGAAGCAGGAGUUGCAGCAGAGGAGCAUAGUGGAAGAGGAGAAGACUAAGGUAGCUUCUGAUAAGAAAGAUGGUGACAUCGACGGAAGGAUGCUAUGUCCUGAAGCAGAAACAGAGAGAAAUUGCUAGACAAUUAUGUGUGCAACAUCAAUUGUUGUUCUAAAAAAUGGCAUCAUUUGAUGAUAACACCCAGUUCAUGAUAGCAAUGUUAAGGUGAGUGUAGAAAAUGUUGUUAAUGUAGUCUUCUGACCUUGACUAAUCGACAGUUGGGUUUUCUUGAGCUGUCCAUUUCAUUCUGUUCUGUGCCUCCAACGAAGUUGUUUUCAGUGAUCAAGAUAGUAUUACCAUUGUUCUCUUUGUUCUUUCCUUUUUUAUUGCAUUAGUUCCUAUUUGAACUAAAGCCUCUCUAAUUUCUGUGGUCUUGCCUCUUAUUAGUUCUAUCCUUAUAUGGGUUUAACUCCAUUUUUACUAUCAUCAAUCCUCUUUGUUACAUUUGACAUGUUUUAACAGAUAGUAGCAAUAAUUCACCAUUCAAAUCAAUCAAAAUGGCACAGACCUUUUACUUCAUUAAAUCUUUCCCUACGGUUGCACUUUGCAAUUAUUGGAUCUAUUGCAUCAAUUAAUUACUAGAAAGGAACAAUGAAUUCAAAAAGCUGGCAGCACUCUGUGAAAUGAUUUUGUGAAUCACAUAAGACUUGGUUGUAACCUUAAACUCUUGAGGGAAAGGAAGACAAUGGACUAUGUGAAGCUAAUGCAUAAGAGUUACAACAUGAAUGACAUCUUGCCAGAUAGCAAUGUACAGUACCCCUUGGAAGUUUGUGUUUUAGUUUUUGGGCACAAGCCAAUGCUGCUUACUUUAGUAUGCACAUUUGUGAUAUUGCUUAUCUGCUUCUGCAAUAUUUCUCAGACUCUUCUCUAUGAAAUUCAAAUAAAAGUGUUGUAGGAUUGCUUUUUUAUUCUGGAAAAGUUUCUAUUUGUUCUUAUUUUCUUUUCUCUCAUUCAUUCGUAUCUAUUAUUCAAGAAAUUUCCAGACAAUUAUGUGUGGAACAUCAAUUGUUGUUCUCAAAAAUGGUAACAUGCCUAAUCCAUUUAAGAUCACAUGAUGCAUUUGGAACAUAAUUGAUCCAGUAUUUUUUUUAUUAUCUUGACUUGAUUUUUGCAGGCAUCAUUUGAUGAUAACACCCAGUUCAUGAUAGCAAUGUUAAGGUGAGUGUAGAAAAUGUUGUUAAUGUAAUCUUCAGACCUUGACUAAUUCAAUUCGGGUUGUUUUAUGAUUUUAAUCAGCCUCUUAUUAGUUCUAUCCUUAUAUGGGUUUAACUCCAUUUUUUUUGAACCUAUUUGUCCAAAUUAUUUUAACAUAUCUUCUCAUAUUUUUAACCUAUCUGUCCACUUAUUUUAAUUAAUAAAUUUUUACUUAUAUGUUUAAAUUAUUUUAACUUAUUUGUUUUCAAAAUUGAAAAAUGCGUACAUCAAUUUGGACAGAUAGAGAUACCUGAAACUUAAAAAAAAAACAUUUGUGGGAUUACAUCUUUAACAUGUCAUAACUUUACACUUGG